rnacentral:rRNA from 1 species
CCUACGGGCGGCAGCAGUGAGGAAUAUUGGUCAAUGGGCGGGAGCCUGAACCAGCCAAGCCGCGUGAGGGAAGAAGGUACAGCGUAUCGUAAACCUCUUUUGUCAGGGAACAAAGGCGGGUACUUGUCCCCUGCUGAGCGUACCUGACGAAAAAGCAUCGGCUAACUCCGUGCCAGCAGCCGCGGUAAUACGGAGGAUGCGAGCGUUAUCCGGAUUUAUUGGGUUUAAGGGGUGCGCAGGCGGCCUGUUAAGUCAGCGGUAAAAGCCCGGGGCUCAACCCCGGCGAGCCGUUGAAACUGGGGGGCUGGAGUUGGAGAGAGGUACGCGGAAUGCGCGGUGUAGCGGUGAAAUGCUUAGAUAUCGCGCAGAACCCCGAUUGCGAAGGCAGCGUACCGGAUCAAAACUGACGCUGAGGCACGAAAGCGUGGGUAUCGAACAGGAUUAGAUACCCCGGUAGUC